rnacentral:rRNA from 1 species
CAGCCGCCGCGGUAAUACGUAGGUGGCAAGCGUUGUCCGGAAUUAUUGGGCGUAAAGGGCUCGCAGGCGGUUUCUUAAGUCUGAUGUGAAAGCCCCCGGCUCAACCGGGGAGGGUCAUUGGAAACUGGGAAACUUGAGUGCAGAAGAGGAGAGUGGAAUUCCACGUGUAGCGGUGAAAUGCGUAGAGAUGUGGAGGAACACCAGUGGCGAAGGCGACACUCUGGUCUGUAACUGACGCUGAGGAGCGAAAGCGUGGGGAGCGAACAGGAUUAGAUACCCCGGUAGUCCCUGUCUCUUAUAC